rnacentral:tRNA from 1 species
GAAGGUAUAGCUCAGUGGUAGAGUGUGUGCUUAGCAUGCAUGAGGUCCUGGGUUCUAUCCCCAGUACCUCCA